AUGAGCAGCACUCUGCUUCGGGUCUGCCCCUCCGAGCUCAAGAUCCCCUACGAGGUCAAGAGGCAGCGAUCGUGCUGCAUGCAGCUCAUCAACAAGACCGACAAGUACGUGGCGUUCAAGGUGAAGACGACGAACCCGAGGAAGUACUCGGUGCGCCACACCUGCGGCAUUCUGCUGCCCCGGAGCUCCUGCAGCGUCACAGUUACGAUGCAGGCUCCCAGGGACAUGCAGCUGGAUCACCAUUGCAAGGACAAGUUCCUCGUGCAGAGCGCCGUGGCCCGGGACGGAGCCACCAUGAGAGAUCUUGUCCCUGAACUGUUCACCAGGGCGCCGGGUAGGUUGAUUGAGGAGUUCAAGCUGCGGGUGGUUUACAUUGCUGCUAAUCCUCCCUCGCCGGUGCCCGAGGAGGCAGAGGAGGAGGACGCAUCCCCUCGGUCAGAGGUGACGAUGGGCUAUGAGGCGAAAGUUUCGUCAGCGUUUGAUGCCGCAUCUAGAUGCGUAGAUAAUUCUGGAGCUAAACUUUCAUGUACCAAGGGUGCCUCUGUGGUAUCCAUGCUUGUUGGAGAAAAAGUAUAUACAAGAGAAGAAAAUCAGAAAAAACAUCAGCAAGAUAUGGGACUGCUUAGGGAAGCAGGAUCACCUCAACAGGGUUUCUCCGUAAUGUUUGUGCUGUUAGUCUUCAUGUCAUCUGUCUUCAUCGGACACUUGAUGAAGCACAUAAAGGUUUAG
rnacentral:rRNA from 1 species